GACGAACGCUGGCGGCGUGCUUAACACAUGCAAGUCGAACGGAAAGGCCCUGCUUUUGUGGGGUGCUCGAGUGGCGAACGGGUGAGUAACACGUGAGUAACCUGCCCUUGACUUUGGGAUAACUUCAGGAAACUGGGGCUAAUACCGGAUAGGAGCUCCUGCUGCAUGGUGGGGGUUGGAAAGUUUCGGCGGUUGGGGAUGGACUCGCUGCUUAUCAGCUUGUUGGUGGGGUAGUGGCUUACCAAGGCGUUGACGGGUAGCCGGCCUGAGAGGGUGACCGGCCACACUGGAACUGAGACACGAUCCAGACUCCUACGGGAGGCAGGGGUGUGGAAUAUGGGACAAUGGGCGCAAGCCUGGUCCAGCCAUACCGCGUUGAUAACGGAGGCCUUCGGGUUGUAAAGCCCUUUUGUUGGAAAAAAAAAGCAACAGGUUAAUACCCCGCUGUUCUGACGGUACCCAAAGAAUAAGCACCGACUAACUUCGUG
rnacentral:rRNA from 1 species